rnacentral:misc_RNA from 1 species
GAUGAAGAACGUAGCGAAAUGCGAUAAGUAGUGUGAAUUGCAGAAUUCAGUGAAUCAUCGAAUCUUUGAACGCACAUUGCGCCCUAUAGUAUUCUGUAGGGCAUGCAUGUUCGAGCGUCAUUUGUACCUUCAAGCUUUGCUUCGUGUUGGGUGUUUGUCCUCUCCCUGGUGUUUGGACUCGCCUUAAAACAAUUGGCAGCCAGUGUUUUGGUAUUGAAGCGCAGCACAAUUUGCGAUUCUGGCCUUAAAAUACUAGCGUCCAUAAGUACAUUCUCACUUUUGACCUCGGAUCAUGUAGGGAUACCCGCUGAACUUAAGCAUAUCAAUAAGCGGAGGA